AAAAAAAAAUAAUAAUAUUGCAGUUCAUGCACAGCUCUAAUUGUAGAACCGAUACAAAAUACAGUUAUCAAAUAUCAAUUAUUAUUUUAAAGAUUUAUCAAACACUUUGAUUUACCUUUUUGGAUGCCUAUCAUCUGUCCUUGAAGAACAGAAGUAAGAUGCAGCACAAAGUGCUUGUCAACAAAUUAUACAUAUCAUGCAUUAACACAGAACUGUCGAGAAAUUUGAAAGAAGCGAUACAAGUCUACAGAGGUCAUAACAUCAAACUCUUUGAAACCGCAGAAACACAAAGCAAUGUCAAUCAGUUAUGUUUUGCAGCAAACAGUUAUCUUGAUCUAUUUUGCUUUCACAAGGUCAGCUCUAGGCCUCCAGAGCCCCAGCCUAUAUUUAUGGGCAUGGUUCAAUAUCAGCUUCCUGUGCUGGCAGGGAAUGCCUAUCUUCUUGAGCUUCAAGGUUCGAGUAACAAGAAGUUUCUGUAAGUCACCAAUCUCAGAUUCAAGC
rnacentral:misc_RNA from 1 species